CUUGACCGCUGGCGGCAGGCCUAACACAUGCAAGUCGAGCGAGCGGCGGACGGGUGAGUAAUGUCUAGGAAACUGCCUGUUGGAGGGGGAUAACUACUGGAAACGGUAGCUAAUACCGCAUACCAUCAAAUGUGCCCCGGUGGGAUUAGCUAGUGGGUGGGGUACCGGCCUACCUAGGCGACGAUCCCUAGCUGGUCGGAGAGGAUGAUCAGCCACACUGGAACUGAGACACGGUCCAGACUCCUACGGGAGGCAGCAGUGGGGAAUAUUGCACAAUGGGCGCAAGCCUGAUCCAGCCAUGCCGCGUGUGUGAAGAAGGCCUUCGGGUUGUAAAGCACUUUCAGCUGGGAGGCGUUACCCGCAGAAGAAGCACCGGCUAACUCCGUGCCAGCAGCCGCGGUAAUAC
rnacentral:rRNA from 1 species